rnacentral:rRNA from 1 species
GCGUGCCUAAUACAUGCAAGUAGAACGCAGUUGCGAACGGGUGAGUAACGCGUAGGUAACUGCCUCUUAGCGGGGGAUAACUAUUGGAAACGAUAGCUAAUACCGCAUACUAAGAGAUGGACCUGCGUUGUAUUAGCUAGUUGGUGAGGUAACGGCUCACCAAGGCGACGAUACAUAGCCGACCUGAGAGGGUGAUCGGCCACACUGGGACUGAGACACGGCCCAGACUCCUACGGGAGGCAGCAGUAGGGAAUCUUCGGCAAUGGACGGAAGUCUGACCGAGCAACGCCGCGUGAGUGAAGAAGGUUUUCGGAUCGUAAAGCUCUGUUGUAAGAGAGGCGGUAACUUACCAGAAAGGGACGGCUAACUACGUGCCAGCAGCCGCGGUAAUACGUAGGUCCCGAGCGUUAUCCGGAUUUAUUGGGCGUAAAGCGAGCGCAGGCGGUUAGAUAAGUCUGAAGUUAAAGGCUGUGGCUUAACCAUAGUACGCUUUGGAAACUGUUUAACUUGAGUGCAGAAGGGGAGAGUGG